rnacentral:rRNA from 1 species
GGUUAAGCGACUAAGCGUACACGGUGGAUGCCUAGGCAAUCAGAGGCGAUGAAGGACGUGCUAAUCUGCGAUAAGCGUCGGUAAGGUGAUAUGAACCGUUACAACCGACGAUUUCCGAAUGGGGAAACCCAGUGCAAUUCGUUGCACUAUCGUUUGAUGAAUACAUAGUCAAACGAAGCGAACCGGGGGAACUGAAACAUCUCAGUACCCCGAGGAAAAGAAAUCAACCGAGAUUCCCCUAGUAGCGGCGAGCGAACGGGGAGCA